UCAUCAUUCACUCUAUCUACUAUCGCAAAAGCAACAGGGAAAAUACCAUCAUUUUCAUACAUUGCCAUAACAAUUAGAAGCUCUGAAUUAUAUUUUGAUUUCAAAGUCAUUGUAUCAAGGAAAAGGAGAGGGCGACAACCAUUUCGAAAACCAGUAAAUGAAGCGUAAAACGCAAUAAAAAGGCCAUGAAAGCUCAUAUCCUCUCUCGUUGCAAGUGUGGCUACACUACCAGGAU
rnacentral:lncRNA from 1 species